UACGGGGGGGGCAAGCGUUGUUCGGAAUUACUGGGCGUAAAGGGCUCGUAGGCGGCCAACUAAGUCAGACGUGAAAUCCCUCGGCUUAACCGGGGAACUGCAUCUGAUACUGGAUGGCUUGAGUCCGGGAGGGGAUGGUGGAAUUCCCAGUGUAGCGGUGAAAUGCGUAGAUAUUGGGAAGAACACCGGUGGCGAAGGCGGCCAUCUGGACCGGCACUGACGCUGAGACGCGAAAGCCAGGGGAGCGAAUGGG
rnacentral:rRNA from 1 species